AUGCACGCUGGCGGCGUGCUUAACACAUGCAAGUCGCACGAAGCACUUUAUUUGAUUUCCUUCGGGACUGAUUAUUUUGUGACUGAGUGGCGGACGGGUGAGUAACGCGUGGGUAACCUGCCUUGUACAGGGGGAUAACAGUUGGAAACGGCUGCUAAUACCGCAUAAGCGCACAGCAUCGCAUGAUGCAGUGUGAAAAACUCCGGUGGUAUAAGAUGGACCCGCGUUGGAUUAGCUAGUUGGUGAGGUAACGGCCCACCAAGGCGACGAUCCAUAGCCGACCUGAGAGGGUGACCGGCCACAUUGGGAAUGAGACACGGCCCAAACUCCUACGGGAGGCAGCAGUGGGGAAUAUUGCACAAUGGGCGAAAGCCUGAUGCAGCGACGCCGCGUGAGCGAAGAAGUAUUUCGGUAUGUAAAGCUCUAUCAGCAGGGAAGAUAAUGACGGUACCUGACUAAGAAGCACCGGCUAAAUACGUG
rnacentral:rRNA from 1 species